CUGUCACCCCCACUCUGUCAGCAACGCCAUCUGAGCAGCUGAAGUCAAAGAAGCCUUCGACCCUGUCUACAUAACAACAGAGGUGUCUGUCAUGCGCAGUGUUCCUUGGUCCAUGUCAACAGUGUAAUGUCCAACAUCGACGCUUUGGGAUCAUCCCUCUCUGAUAUUUGACAAAUCAUUGAUGUAGCCUCUAUCACCACCUACAGGCUUGGACGGUGUGUUUUCCUGUUUGGCUGCUGAGAGUCAGAGGCCCUCAGUUGACAGAAAUGAGGAUAAAUAACUGGAUGUCAUUAGUGUCACCAGAGGACCUCAGCGAGAUAUUUCCCUCCUGCACACUGGUUAUUUCAGUCAGCCAUCCAGAUGAAGAAAUAAUUUCCCGAGGGACUGGGACACAAGAAAAACCUCAGUCGCCUGCACUGCAGCAGAACAGAUCAGGACCCCAAACACAAGAGGAUCUGAUUCACUUGAAAGCC